GACCAAACACACGCCACACCGCAGUCCGACAGGUAGGUGCCGAAGGAAAGGAGAAAAGAAACCCACUUCUCGGCGCUCCCGACCACGGCAUGCUCCACCACCGUGCCCGCUCCUCUCCUCCUCGCUGAGAGUCGAGCAAGGCUCCAAAGCAGAUUCUCCUUGCCGGCGCGGCCCCGUCCCCCUCCAAGUUCCGCUCACCUCCCUGACACGGCCCGCCCGUCCGCGUGUGGAUGAACGUGGAGCAGAUCGGAGGACGACUGUGCUGUGGAGAUGCGGAGACUCGCCAUGGCUCCUGCCAUGAAUCCCGCCUCCAACCGCGCGCCACCGGCCGUCCCCUUCCUCCACGCGCGCCGAACAGGCCCUUCCGUCCCCGAGCCCCAUCCAGUUCACUUUCUCCCCUGCGAGCCGGCUGGUGUAUGUGGGGUUGCGGGAUCCCGAGCUCACAGAUGGCACGGAUCCCGGGUGUCGACCUGGUCGUCGUCCCUCGAACCCCAACGCCGCAUCGAGCCGGUGCGACGCGAAGAGCUUGGUGGCCAUGGUCGCCCGUGUAGCCGUGGACUACCUAUGCGGAUGUAAUUGAUACUCAAAAUCCAUGCUCCCCUCCAUGGUGUGCAGCGAGGUGGGAGGAUGCCUGCUCCGUCGGCGGCGUGUUGUGACUGAGCAGCGAGGAUGGAGGAGUCUAGCAGCGGCUCAACUGCUCCUUUUCUUAUUAUUUUUUGGUACACGCCAUGGAUUUGGUAUCUUGUUGUCUUGUUCCACUUGGGGAUCGGGAAUUUUUAGGCGAGGGAUAGUUGCUGCCGGCGCUGCAUCCCCUUCCUCUAGCAAUUGUUUGGAGGAAGGGCGGCAGAGGAGCUUGUUCAUCCUUGUCGACUGCCUAAAACAUCCCAUUUCCGGAGGAAGGGCAGACUGUCGAGUCCGUGAAUCCACCACAGCGCCAUGCUGGAGGCUGGGUGCGGCCGCACUCAACAAGCACGCGGCGGCGAUAAGGGAUGCUGGUCGCUGGAGGGAGAUGUGAGGCGUCCACCUUGCGAAUGCGGGACAUGUGCGGAAGGUCACCGGGGCGUCGCCGGAUGCAGUGUCACGGUGGACACAGGCAGCGCCUACCGGUGGUAGAGGAAGGGCCGAAGGCCGGCCUAGGCGCGCGACGCCGCCAUGAUUUGGGUAUGGAGGUGCAGGUGCGGCUCGAGGAGCUCGAGAGAUGGUGUUUGCGCGCUGUGGGCGGGCUCCUGCUGGAUUUUGCGGGACACAGGUCACGGUUGAUAUUUAGGAAAAAUUAUAAUUUAAUGCAUCUCUUUCAUUUUCUGAAUCCUGGAGUAGCUUUGGUCAGUUUUUUGACCUGAUGCUGAUCAAAUUGAGCCAACGUUUUCUUUUCAUAUUUGGUUACGUCCGUGAUUCAUCGAUUUACCAUAUUUCCUAAUUUUUAAGUAACACUCUACAUCUGGUUUCCCCAAUUUUGUUGUUGUAAUCUCUCCCACAAUUUGCAGCUUGCAGUGCAACCAUUGUGAACUGAAAUCC